AGCCACAGUUGCCACGGUGAUUAUUCUAAACACAGCAGGUGAUGUAAUUCCCCUUGGGAGUGUGGCAUCAAGCAGAUGAAUUGGGCGCAUUGCAUCUGAUUCAGCCUCUUGAGGAGAAAGACUUCAUACUGAUCCAAAUAGACUCCCGAGAGGCAGAAAGAGGAAAAUGAUAAAUAAAUGCCAGCCAAGCUCUAAAAUGGAACACUCUAGCUGUGUGGCCACUGCUUUAAUGAAGACAGCUGCCAUUCUGUGAGCUGUUCUAUGAAGGAGCCCACUUGGCAAGGAACUGGGGGAGGUCUCAGAUUAACAGCCAGCAAGAAACUGAAUCCUGCUAACAACCACCUGAAUGAACAUGAAAGCAGACCCUUCCCCAAUUGAGUCUUCAGAUGAGACCCAGUGCUCACCUGCACCUAGGUUGGAGCCCUAAGAGAAACCUUGAAGCAGAGGAACCAGCUUAACCUGAUCCAUGGAAACUAUAAAAUAAAAUGUGUGUUGUUUAAACUGCUAAAUUUCUGGAAACUUAUUACCCAGCAGUACAUAUCUAGUGUAUAAGGAUUUACCAGAAGAAAAUAAUCAUGGAUGUGUGCAAAGAUCUAAACACAAUGACGUUCACUGCAAAUUUUUUAAUAAUUGAGAACAUUUGGAAACAGUGUAAAUGUCAAUGAAUAUAAGGCUGGAGAAAUCAAUUAUAAUACAGGUGAACCAUAUGAAAUCAUUUUUGCAGGUUAAAAAAGGUCGAAUAGCACUAAUUUUAUGUGUUUCAACCUAAUGCAUUCGUAUGAUAUGGACAUGAAAAUAGUAUUUAUGAAAAAUACAAUAUGGGGGAACAUCAUAAAAUUUCAUGAUAUAUUGUUAAGUGAGAAAAAUGGCUUAUAAAGCAAUGAAAAUAUGAUUGUAAUUUUGUGAGAGAGAUAUACAGAUAUGCAUAGAGAAAAAGACUGCAGAUAUACCAAUAAAAAGUGAAUAAUGUUUACCUUC
rnacentral:lncRNA from 10 species